rnacentral:rRNA from 1 species
UGGGGAAUAUUGCACAAUGGGCGCAAGCAUGAUGCAGCCAUGCCGCGUGUAUGAAGAAGGCCUUCGGGUUGUAAAGUACUUUCAGCGGGGAGGAAGGCGAUAAGGUUAAUAACCUUGUCGAUUGACGUUACCCGCAGAAGAAGCACCGGCUAACUCCGUGCCAGCAGCCGCGGUAAUACGGAGGGUGCAAGCGUUAAUAGGAAUUACUGGGCGUAAAGCGCACGCAGGCGGUCUGUCAAGUCGGAUGUGAAAUCCCCGGGCUCAACCUGGGAACUGCAUUCGAAACUGGCAGGCUAGAGUCUUGUAGAGGGGGGUAGAAUUCCAGGUGUAGCGGUGAAAUGCGUAGAGAUCUGGAGGAAUACCGGUGGCGAAGGCGGCCCCCUGGACAAAGACUGACGCUCAGGUGCGAAAGCGUGGGGAGCAAACA